rnacentral:tRNA from 1 species
GGUUAUGGUUCAUCGGUAGAGCACUCGCCUAGCAAGUGCUGAGGCCCUGGGUUCGAUCCUCAGCACCA